rnacentral:rRNA from 1 species
UUAGGCGGACGGGUGGAGUAACGACGUGGAAACCGUAGCCGUAUACUGGGGAGUAACACUUAGAAAUAAGGUGCUAAUACCGCAUAAGCGCACAGCUUCGCAUGAAGCGGUGUGAAAAACUCUGGUGGUAUACGAUGGUUCCGCGUCUGAUUAGCUAGUUGGUGGGGUAAUGGCCUACCAAGGCAACGAUCAGUAGCCGGCCUGAGAGGGUGAACGGCCACAUUGGGACUGAGACACGGCCCAAACUCCUACGGGAGGCAGCAG